rnacentral:lncRNA from 1 species
GGCUGACAGAAGGGAAACUUCUGCUUUAAGAUGGAGCAGCUUGGGGAAAAUGGAUUGAGCUCCAGGAGAAAGGAGAGCCUGGAAUGAGGCCUCAGAUGUCUGCAGCUCUGAAAAGCUGUGAGAGGAACCCCCA